GGGUCAGUAGGUUGGUCGUGCCACCGGUACGUACUGGUCUCACUGAUUCCUCCUUCCUGAAGAACCGUAAUGCCAUUAAUUUGGUGUUGCGGGGAAACAGGACUGUUACUUUGAAAAAAUUAGAGUGUUUAAAGCAAGCUAUCGCUUGAAUACAUUAGCAUGGAAUAAUGAAAUAGGACGAUCGAUCCUCUUUUGUUGGUUUCUAGGAUUGACGUA
rnacentral:rRNA from 1 species